UACCGAUAACGGGAAAAAACGUGAAUAUCGGCCGAUAAUCGGUCGAUCCCUAAAGGAUAGUAUAUAACAUUUUUAAGAUGUUCUUAUCACAUUUUAGGUGGACACUAACAUAAUAUUGGACACCAUUUUAGGAGUUGAUAAAUCUAUUUGGGUGCACCUAGCCUGGGGGACUGUUUAGGUUCUAAGUAAUGCUACUGUUUUAGAGCCGAGGGUCUAAAUGUUGCUUGAAUGUCAUGCCAUUUCUAAGGCUCUGGUACAAUCAGGGUUCUAGGUGUUUCAAGCUUUGUACACAAAUGACAACUUUUAUUUUAGGUGCUGGAGAACAAAAUGUGAGCAGCUAGUCUGGAAGACUAAGUUCUAGGAGACAAUAUUGUAUGAGUAAAAACAUGGCAGUGAGGUGCUAGAUGUUGCAGAGAUUCCAUGAACAUUUCAAGAUGCCUUUACAAAGAACAUUUUAGGUGUUUUAAGUAUUGGACUCUAUCAUGACUGAAUUCCCAAGCCUGCAGGAUGGUUCGGGUUCCGGAUGUUUCUAGGAUUAGACACCAUCAUAAUGGGAUUACCCUGCCUAUAAGAUUGUUCAGGUUCCAGGUAUUUCUAGGCUUGGACACCAUCAUGAUGGGAUUACCCUGCCUAUAAAAUUGUUCAGGUUCUAGGUAUUUCUAGGAUUGGACACCAUCAUAAUGGGAUUACCCUGCCUAUAAGAUUGUUCAGGUUCUAGGUAUUUAUAGAAUUGGGCACCAUCAUAAUGGGAUUACCCUGCCUAUAAGAUUGUUCAGGUUCUAGGUAUUUAUAGAAUUGGACACCAUCAUGAUGGAAUUACCCUGCCUAUAAGAUUGUUCAGGUUCUAGGUAUUUCUAGGCUUGGACACCAUCAUGAUGGGAUUACACAGCCUGUAGGAUUAUUUAGGUUCUGUGGGGGAGAUUUAUCAAAAAACUGUGCAGAGUAAAACUUUCCCAGUUGCCAAUAGUAACCAAUCAGAUCGCUUCUUUCAUUUUUAGGAAGGCCUGUGAGAAAAUUAAAGUAGCGAUCUGAUUGGUUGCUAUGGGCAACUGAACAAGUUUUACUCUGCACAGGUUCCGAUAGAUCUCCCCCGAUGUGUUUCUAGCACUGGACAUCAUGAUUACCUAAAUCACUAUCAUAAUUAGGCAUCCUGUAGGAUGAUUCAGGUUCUAGGUGCUUCUAGGCUUGGACACUAACAUGAUGGUAUUACUCUGUAGGAUGAUUCAGGUUCUAGGUGUUUCUAGGCUUGGACACUAACAUGAUGGGAUUACUCUGUAGGAUGAUUCAGGUUCUAGGUGUUUCUAGGCUUGGACACUAACAUGAUGGGAUUCCUCUGUAGGAUGAUUCAGGUUCUAGGUGUUUCUAGGCUUGGACACUAACAUGAUGGGAUUACUCUGUAGGAGGAUUCAGGUUCUAGGUGCUUCUAGGCUUGGACACUAACAUGAUGGUAUUACUCUAGGAUGAUUCAGGUUCUAGGUGUUUCUAGGCUUGGACACUAACAUGAUGGGAUUACUCUGUAGGAGGAUUCAGGUUCUAGGUGCUUCUAGGCUUGGACACUAACAUGAUGGUAUUACUCUAGGAUGAUUCAGGUUCUAGGUGUUUCUAGGCUUGGACACUAACAUGAUGGGAUUACUCUGUAGGAGGAUUCAGGUUCUAGGUGCUUCUAGGCUUGGACACUAACAUGAUGGGAUUACUCUGUAGGAUGAUUCAGGUUCUAGGUGUUUCUAGGCUUGGA